rnacentral:rRNA from 1 species
CUACGGGUGGCAGCAGUGGGGAAUAUUGGACAAUAGGGGAAACCCUGAUCCAGCAAUGCCACGUGAGUGAUGAAGGCCUUCGGGUUGUAAAGCUCUUUCAACAAGGAAGAUAAUGACGGUACUUGUAGAAGAAGCACCGGCUAACUCCGUGCCAGCAGCCGCGGUAAUACGGAGGGUGCUAGCGUUGUUCGGAAUUACUGGGCGUAAGAGCGCGUAGGCGGCUUAUUAAGUUAGAAGUGAAAUCCCGGGGCUCAACCUCGGAACUGCUUUUAAAACUAAUUGGCUAGAGUUAAGUAGAGGAUAGUGGAAUUCCCAAUGUAGAGGUGAAAUUCGUAGAUAUUGGGAGGAACACCAGAGGCGAAGGCGACUAUCUGGACUUUAACCGACGCUGAGGCGCGAAAGUGUGGGGAGCAAACAGGAUUAGAUACCCUUGUAGUC